UACGGGGGGGGCAAUCGUUGUUCGGAAUUACUGGGCGUAAAGGGCUUGUAGGCGGCCAACUAAGUCAGACGUGAAAUCCCUCGGCUUAACCGGGGAACUGCGUCUGAUACUGGAUGGCUUGAGUUCGGGAGAGGGAUGCGGAAUUCCAGGUGUAGCGGUGAAAUGCGUAGAUAUCUGGAGGAAUACCGGUGGCGAAGGCGGCAUCCUGGACCGACAUUGACGCUGAACGGCGAAAGCUAGGGGAGCAAACGGG
rnacentral:rRNA from 1 species